GAUGAACGCUGGCGGCGUGCCUAAUACAUGCAAGUCGAGCGAACGGACGAGAAGCUUGCUUCUCUGAUGUUAGCGGCGGACGGGUGAGUAACACGUGGAUAACCUACCUAUAAGACUGGGAUAACUUCGGGAAACCGUAGCUAAUACCGGAUGAUAUUUUGAACCGCAUGGUUCCAAAGUGAAAGACGGUCUUGCUGUCACUUAUAGAUGGAUCCGCGCUGCAUUAGCUAGUUGGUAAGGUAACGGCUUACCAAGGCAACGAUGCAUAGCCGACCUGAGAGGGUGGUCGGCCAGACGGGAACUGAGACACGUUCCAGACUCCGACGGUAGGCAGCAGUAGGGAAUCUUCCGCGAUGGGCGAAAGCCGGACGGAGCAACGCCGCGGGAGUGAUGAAGGUCUUCGGAUCGUAAAGCGCUGUUAUUAGGGAAGAACAUAUGUGUAAGUAACUGUGCACAUCUUGACGGUACCUAAUCAGAAAGCCACGGCUAACUACGUG
rnacentral:rRNA from 1 species